UGUUGGCUUAGAAGCAGCCACCAUUUAAAAAGUGCGUAAUAGCUUACUGGUCGAGAACAGUAGCGCCGUAAAUGAUCGGGAAUAAGCAAGAUACCGAAGCAACGGGUCCCGAGUAAUCGGGACGGUAGAAGAGCGUUGUACUCCGCGUUGAAGCCAUAUCGUGAGAAGUGGUGGAGCGUGUACAAGUGAGAAUGCCGGUAUGAGUAACGAUAAUGCAGGUGAAAAUCCUGCACGCCGAAAGCCUAAGGUUUCCUGGGGAAGGUAAAUCCGCCCAGGGUUAGUCGGAAGCUAAGACGAGGCCGAAAGGCGUAGCCGAUGGACAGCAGGUUAAUAUUCCUGCACCGGCGGUAAAGGACGAACCUCUGCAUGUAGUCUUCCAAGGUGGAUCCCCCGAUUAGACGUGGGGGUUCCGAAAGGUCGAGGCCGCUUUGUUGCCGAAGUCCAUGGCGGGAGAUUCAAGAAAAGUGCAGAGGGGACGAUACCGUUGCCCGUACUAAAACUGACACAGGUAGGCGAGGAGAAUAUCCUAAGGCGCUCGAGAGAACUGCGGUUAAGGAACUAGGCAAAUUAACCCCGUAACUUCGGGAUAAGGGGUCCCUCCUCAAUUUAUUGAGAGGGCACAGUAAGUGGCCCGGGCGACUGUUUAUCAAAAACACAGCUCUGUGCUAACUCGCAAGAGGAUGUAUACAGAGUGACGCCUGCUCGGUGCGGGAAGGUUAAGGAAGUAGGUCAAGGUUUCGACCUGAAGCUUACAACCGAAGCCCCCGUAAACGGCGGCCGUAACUAUGACGGUCCUAAGGUAGCGAAGUUCCUUGUCGGGUAAGUUCCGACGCGCAUGAACGGCGUAACGACUUGGGCGCUGUCUCAACCGCAGACUCGGUGAAAUUGAAGUGGCGGUGAAGAUACCGUCUACCCGCAGCAAGACGGAAAGACCCCAUGCACCUUUACUAUAGCCUGGUACUGACGCCGGGUUUGAACUGCGUAGGAUAGGUGGGAGGCGUUGAUCCCCUGGUUCUGGCCAGGGGGGAGCCAACGGUGAAAUACCACCCUGUUUGCAUUCGUCGUCUCACCCUGUUCCAUGAAUCUGGGCAGGGAACCGUGCUAGGUGGUUAGUUUGACUGGGGCGGUCUCCUCCAAAAGAGUAACGGAGGAGUGCAAAGACGGGCUCAGACCGGUUGGCAAUCGGUCGUCGAGCGUAUAGGUAGAAGCCCGUUUGACUGCGAGAGGGACACCUCGAGCAGAGCUGAAAGGCGGCCUAAGUGAUCCUGUGGUCCCGUGUGGAAGGGCCAUCGCUCAACGGAUAAAAGGUACGCUGGGGAUAACAGGCUGAUCGCAUCCGAGCGUCCAUAGCGGCGAUGCGGUUUGGCACCUCGAUGUCGGCUCAUCGCAUCCUGGGGCUGAAGGCGGUCCCAAGGGUUUGGCUGUUCGCCAAUUAAAGCGGUACGUGAGCUGGGUUCAGACCGAUGUGAAUCAGGUCGGUCCCUAUCUGCUGUGGGCGAAGGAACCUUGACGGCACCUCUUCCAUAGUACGAGAGGAUUUGGAAGGACGGACCCCUGGUGUACCAGUUGUCGCGCUAGCGGCAUCGCUGGGUAGCUAUGUCCGGAACGAAUAAACGCUGAAAGCAUCUAAGCGUGAAGUCUAUGCCAAGACAAGGAAUCCAUGGUCCCGAUUUAUCGGGACCGAGAGACCCCGAAUAGACCAUUCGGUUGAUAGGCCGGAGCUGUACGUGCCGAAAGGUAUUAAGGUUACCGGUACUAACGGUCGAUUGCUUGACCAC
rnacentral:rRNA from 1 species